rnacentral:rRNA from 1 species
UGAGGAACACGUGGGAACAUACCUUUUGGUACGGAAUAGCCCUUGGAAACGAGGAGUAAUACCGUAUGAGCCCUUAGGGGGAAAGAUUUAUCGCCAAAAGAUUGGCCCGCGUUAGAUUAGCUAGUUGGUGGGGUAAAGGCCUACCAAGGCAACGAUCUAUAGCUGGUUUGAGAGGAUGAUCAGCCACACUGGGACUGAGACACGGUCCAGACUCCUACGGGAGGCAGCAGUGGGGAAUUUUCCGCAAUGGGCGAAAGCCUGACGGAGCAAUACCGCGUGAGGGAAGACGGCCUAUGGGUUGUAAACCUCUUUUCUCAGGGAGGAAAUCAAUGACGUUACCUGAGGAAUAAGCAUCGGCUAACUCCGUGCCAGCAGCCGCGGUAAGACGGAGGAUGCAAGUGUUAUCCGGAAUCACUGGGCGUAAAGCGUCUGUAGGUGGCUUAACAAGUCAACUGUUAAAUCUUGAAGCUCAACUUCGAAAUCGCAGUCGAAACUGUUAGGCUAGAGUAUAGUAGGGGUAAAGGGAAUUUCCAGUGGAGCGGUGAAAUG